rnacentral:rRNA from 1 species
CCUACGGGGUGCAGCAGUGAGGAAUAUUGGUCAAUGGACGAGAGUCUGAACCAGCCAAGUAGCGUGAAGGAUGACUGCCCUAUGGGUUGUAAACUUCUUUUAUAUGGGAAUAAAAUGUUCCACGUGUGGGAUUUUGUAUGUACCAUAUGAAGAAGAAUCGGCUAAGUACGUGCCAGCAGCCGCGGUAAUACGGAGUAUCCGAGCGUUAUCCGGAUUUAUUGGGGUUAAAGGGAGCGUAGGUGGAUUGUUAAGUCAGUUGUGAAAGUGUGCGGCUCAACCGUAAAAUUGCAGUUGAAACUGGCAGUCUUGAGUACAGUAGAGGUGGGCGGAAUUCGUGGUGUAGCGGUGAAAUGCUUAGAUAUCACGAAGAACUCCGAUUGCGAAGGCAGUUCACUGGACUGCAACUGACACUGAGGCUCGAAAGUGUGGGUAUCAAACAGGAUUAGAUACCCCAGUAGUC